UUUAUUUUUGUAAAUAAUACUUUUCUUUAUUUGUUUCACAAUUACAAGUGUACCCUCAAUCCCCGGAUAGAACGAUCCCUAUUUGCUUAUACUACUAACGAUAUUUCAGGGUUAAAUUGUGCACUUCCCAAAGGCGCGUCACCCACCGCGCCUCCAUCCCCGUCUCCUCCACCCCUUCAUCCAAUCUAACCUCCCCAACAGGCCCCUCCCUCCUCUUCCAAGCCCACGCAGCCGCCGUCUGUCCCCACCCCUCCGCCGCCAACAACAACGGCCCCAUCAACAUCGCCGCCUCUGGGUUCGGGUCCCCGCCCAACACCCUAACAGAGCCCGUUUGGGAUAUCGUCAAGAGGGACUUGUGUCGGAUCGUCAUCAAUUUGAACUUUUGAAGCUCGUCGUCUUCCCAACCCCUACUGUGAGGACCCCGGAAAGGCUCUCAGAGUCUCAGGGAUUGGGGUCUCUGCGGUCCUUUCUUCUUCAUUGUGUUCUUGGGUCCCGCUCUGUCCUGGUCUGCAUCUGUCAAGAAGCAUAUAGGUAAUCUGAUGGGAAAUGGAAUUGAUUUUUCCGUCUGAAGUUUUCACUGUUGCAUAUGUUGUACUUGCUGAUGGUGCUGUCAUUUUGACAUUGAAUGUACUCCUACUGGUUGAAAUCUGGUUCCAAAAAGCGACUACCUUUUUGGCAAAAGGCUUUCUUUGCAUCCAAGAAGAUGAGUAUUUUGUUGCUCUAUGCAAUCACAAUUGUCUAUGGUUGAAGCUAUCAUGGACCCUGCAACCUUUUUAGUGGUGUGGUUUAUCAUGUCAUCAAUUCCAUUUCUGCCAUUCAUGUUUCAAUCACGAAGUGAUGUUCAGACCCGAAAUGCAGGAAUUGAGUUGGGGUUCUGGAUCAGUCUAAGCUACCUUCUUGAGGCACUUGGUUACUUACAUCUGAUGCUGGCCGUGCAUUGUUUAUUUCCCUCUUUACAGGAAGCAAGCUCAAACUUAACUUUGAGCUAUAUUUCAGAGAUGAGAAAACUGAUCAAGAGGAAAUCGACUGAAAGCAGAGGAGGGGGGAAACUAUAAUUAAAACUCCAGUUCAGACUGUCCAAACCAUCUUCCAAGAGUUGCAAUUGUUAGAAGACCAAAUGUUGGGACUCAAUGUUGGUCUGGACUCUGGAGCAAAGCUUUAGAUCCCCUAAAGUGACAAAGGAUGGGAUCGCUGUAGCAAAGAGCUUUGGGUUCAGAAUUACAUGCUCAAAUUCCUUGAGCUUUCAAAUGAAAAAGAAACACAGAUCAAGUGGACUUCUGAUAGGGAAUACAGGAGAAAGAUACUGAAGUUACUAACCAUACUUGCCUUGAGAGAUUCAUACUUGAUGAGUGUUUAAUUACAUGAUGGAGACGCUUUAGGAGAAGGGUAGGCAAAUUUGACAAGGUUCUCACAACUCUGCAAUCCACGGUUCCUAAUUGCAGGAGAGAAUUAUUUGUGUUGAUCUAAGCCUAAUGCAUGGAGACAAUGAACUGUGACCUUGGAGCUAGAGGGCAGCUCAAGAGUUGGAACAGUCUAGGAGUCGAAAAGUGAAUGCUUCUUUCAAGGUAAUCAAAUUUGUUGUUAAUAUAUAUUUUCUCCUUGUUUAGAUGCCACUUUCUCUAUUUGACGUAGAAACUUCGAAGCUUUAAUAAAGCAUGUUUGAUUUUGGCUUGUCAAUUCAAUUCAAUUGUGGGUCGUGUUUAAUUCAGCAAUGUAGUGGGCAAUAACUUGUAUUUGUUAUGCCUCAUUACCUGUUCAAGAAUCUAAUAUUCAGCAAUUAUUCUGUCAAAGUUUCUUAUUAGUUGCGAUUGCUGCAAAAUUUAAUUAGCAGUUUUAAUGGCUGUGAGAGGUCUAACAGACCAAUGUGGACAACCACUGCAUGUCUGCAUUAGUAAAGCAUUGUGGACAGUCACUUUGUCAUUAUAGCUUCUUAAUAUUGUUCUACUAAUUGUCCUCAUUUAAUUUCUCUAUAGUUGGUUAAUCAAUGGUACUUGUUUGUACAGUGUUCAAGAAAUUAUCAUGUUAUCAACCAGUAUGCUAAAGUUCAUGUGGACAAUCAAAAGAAUGGCCAAGAACAUUGCUGCUGGGUUAAUUCUAGCAAGUUUGUAUCCUUAAUAUUGAGGGGAAAAAAACCUUGUUGGCUGCACUACAAGAAUACUGUUUAUUGAUAGCACAAGUUAAUAUCAUGGACAGCAGACAAAGUGGUUAUCUUUUAGAGCUCCGUUCAGAGAUGCUAAGAGAGCUAUCUAGCUAUGAAGGUUAAAUUGGAUAAGCUAGUAAUGGACUGAUGCGGUCAUUAAUGCUAGGAGCUGCACACAAGUAUUUUUUGAUUGAGAUAUUGUAGUUACUUGUUUAUCUUUUCCUUAGAAUAUUGAUUAUGCAAAAUGAUCGGCUACUAGCUUUUGAGACAAUUUUAUUGAAUUGUAUUUGAAAUUCAUAUAUGAAGUUUGAACAUUGAUGAGACGAUUGACAUUUUUGUAUCAUCUUCACGCUUUAUAUAAAAUUUUGUACUAGCUAGCGAUAAAAAUAAUGUCCAGACAAUGACAACGUUUCUUAAAUGCUAUGAACAAGUAUGUAUUGUCAUUUGAUAGCAUUGGUGAGUGUACUGAAAACUGAACAAUAGCAUUUAUUAUCACAAAAAGAGGUCAAUUGAUAGCACCUGAGAAAUGCUAUGGAAAACCAAGACAAUAGCAUUUGUUAAACGCUAUGAUAGGCCAAACAACAACGCUUAUAAAAUGCUAUUGUUAACUCGCCUAUAGCAUUUUUCAAACGCUACUAGAUGUCAGACAAUAGCGCUUCAAAAACGCUAUCAAUAGAAAAUGUAUUAUAGCGUUUCUGAAAAUGCUAUGACUGACCCUGUACCUAUUAUAGCUCCGGCAGACAUAGCGUUUACUAAAACGCUAUUGAAUCCUACCAUAGCGAUAGAUGAG